AUGAGGACUUCAUCUCUUAUUGGAAAAGAAAGCCACCACAUAAACCGGAGCCUCUGGCCGGGCCGCGUGAGGGAGGAGGGUUCGUCAUGUCUAGUAGCAUAUAAGAAGACCCCACCACCGGUCCCUCCGCGUACCACAUCAAAGCCGUUCAUCUCAGUCACAGUCCAGAGCAGUACUGAGUCUGCUCAGGACACCUACCUGGACAGCCAGGAUCACAAGAGCGAGGUGACAAGCCAGUCAGGCCUGAGCAACUCGUCGGACAGCCUGGACAGCAGUACCCGACCACCUACUCUGAAAAGUGAACAAGGAACGCUGACCAGCAUUGAGUCUCACACCGAGACUAUUCCCAAAAGGAAACUGUCAUCAAUAGGAAUACAAGUUGAUUGCAUUCAGCCAGUGCCAAAAGAGGAGCCCAGUCCCGCUACCAAAUUCCAGUCCAUCGGGGUUCAGGUAGAGGACGACUGGCGAAGCAGCGCCCCCUCUCACAGUAUGUCCUCCUGACGGGACACUGACUCGGAUACCCAGGAUGCUAAUGACUCAAGCUGUAAGUCUUCUGAGAGGAGUCUCCCAGACUGUACCUCACACACUAACUCCAUCAGCAUCGAUGCUGGCCCCCGGCAGGCCCCCAAGAUUGCCCAAAUCAAGCGCAACCUCUCCUAUGGAGACAACAGUGACCCUGCCCUGGAGGCGUCCUCACUGCCUCCACCAGACCCCUGGCUUGAGACAACCUCCAGCUCCCCAGCAGAGCCAGCACAGCCUGGGGCCUGCCGCCGAGAUGGCUACUGGUUCUUGAAACUACUUCAGGCAGAAACAGAGCGGCUGGAAGGCUGGUGCUGCCAAAUGGACAAGGAGACCAAAGAGAACAACCUCUCUGAAGAAGUCUUAGGAAAGGUCCUCAGUGCCGUGGGCAGUGCCCAGCUAUUGAUGUCCCAGAAAUUCCAGCAGUUCCGGGGCCUGUGUGAGCAGAACUUGAACCCUGAUGCCAACCCAUCCAACAGCCCAGGACCUGGCAGGGUUCUGGGACCUGCUACAGCUAUCUAUUGAGGACAUCAGCAUGAAGUUUGAUGAACUCUACCACCUCAAGGCCAACAGCUGGCAGCUGGUGGAGACCCCCGAGAAGAGGAAGGAAGAGAAGAAACCACCCCCUCCAGUCCCAAAGAAGCCAGCCAAAUCCAAGCCGGCAGUGAGCCGAGACAAGGCCUCAGAUGCAGGGGACAAGCAGCGUCAGGAAGCCCGCAAGAGACUCCUGGCAGCCAAGCGGGCAGCUUCUGUGCGGCAGAACUCAGCCACAGAGAGUGCAGACAGCAUCGAGAUUUAUGUCCCUGAGGCCCAGACCAGGCUCUGAGACCAUGGAGAAGGAAGGAAACAGUUUUAAACAAUUAAAAAACAAAGAAAACAAUGCAGACAGAACAAAAUUUUAUCAACUGUAUGGUUAUUCUCUCUAGAGACCCUGAGCCAAUUUCAAAUUGAUGCAUACAAGGGCUCACAAUUUGGCUUUUUUGGGUCCCUCUCAGCUUUAGGUUAUGAAGACUUCACAUUAAAAAACCAUCAACAAAACUAGAAAACUUUUUUUUCCCUCUUGCUGGCCGUGGUGGACUAGAUAGAUGGACUUCAGCAACGCCCCGGCCCAGCCUCAGACUGUGGUCUUUUUACUUGUUCUAUCUAAUGAGAACUUAAACUAGCUUGUUUACAAGACGACAACAGUCCAAGGGUAGCCUUGGGCACCUGCCAUGUUCCUCCUCUUCCCAGCUGCCCUGCUCUGACCUUGGAUUUUUCAUUCUACAUUUUUCUUUUCCCUUCAGAGCUCACACAGGGGUCACCAUCAAGGCCAGCGGCUUUCUGGUUCCGUCCUUUUUGUGGCUGAGGGCCCAGAGAACAGCAAGAUGGACACGCAUCCCCUCCCCCACCAAGUGCUCACACACGCUUGCAUGCGUGCACACAGAUGGGCUGCCCUCCGCUGGGACCUGCCAAUCCUAGGCAGGGUCAGGCAGGACUCCCUCUCAGCAGAUGAGCAAGGUGUUGGUCUCAGGAGAAAUAAGGUGAAGCCCCAAUACCACCCUCCAGUUGCUUUCUUUCCAGCCCCUUCCUUCAGCAGAUUUAGGACUAUUGGUGGCUUCCAGGGGUUGUCUGUCCUUGGCCUUGCCUAUGUCCAGUCCCCGAGGGCAGGUGGCGGUGUGUACGUAUGUGUAUAUAUGCACAUAGACCUUAGAGUGUAUAUUUAACAAACGCCCAUCUGCUCACCCAUGCCCACCAGCGCUGCCGCCACCGGCUCUCGGGCACCUGGCAGGAGUGUGAAUAGCAUAUAUUUUUACAUGUACUAUAUCUAGGUGUGUGUACAAGUGUGUGUAAAAAUAUAUACCUUGUGUGUAAGCAGCCUUUUUUUUUGGGGGGGGGGGUCCUUCCCUUCUAUUAGCCCAGCCUCUGAGUUUUUGUUUUGUUUUGUUUUUUUUUAAUCCAGUCAUCCCACCCUGCAUCCCCACUCCCAUGGUGUCACAAGCCCCGAGCUGCAAAGGCCCAGGUCUGCAGGGCAGGAUGGGGAGGACAGGGUAAGGACGGGCAGGCAGACAGCAGGGGCCGUGUGCAACAGAACUCAGCACACGUGGGGCUGCUCUAUACUGUGUGUACGAUCAAGGGCACUAUAGACAUCCUCUUGUCUGGUGCGUGCUGCAAGGGUGAACCAAGGGCCUGCUCUGGGGUCCCAUUCCAGCUUGGCCGCUGUCUGUGACCUUGGGCAAGUCACUUGACCUCUGUGUGCCUCAACUUCCUCCUCUGUAAAAUGGGGACAGUCCCCGCCCUUCCCUACCUCACAGGCAUGUUGUGAGAAUAAAUGAGGUAAUGUGUA